UGUCCUCAUCAUGUGGUGGACCGCUGGGGCCUAUGCGAAAGCUGGGCCUCAUUGUUCAUAAUGUGGUAGGCAAAGCGUGAAGCUGGCUUCACAGAGCAGCGACAACUGCCCGCUUCCAACGGUGGAAGGAUAACG
rnacentral:SRP_RNA from 9 species